UGUCACAUGAUCCUUUAGAAAUGAUAUGAAAUGGUGCUACAGAAACAUUAUUUAUUAUCAAUGUUGAAAACAGAUGUGCUGCUUAAUAUAUUUAAAAAGUAAAAUUACACGUAAUUUAUACAUGCUGUAAAAGAUGUAUGUACCACAUAGCGGGUGAACUUACCAGUGGCCAUCUCUCUUUUAACAUUUAACAACUAAAUUAGCAUUAGCAUUAUAUGUUUCGAUUUAAUUCCUCGAAAAUGGCUGCACUUGCUAAACGUCCAUCUAAAUAUGGUACAAUUUAAAAAAAAUAAAUACACAUUGUCCUUAAUAACGGAGGCAUCUACCAUUUUAUAAGCCCACAUACAAAAAUGCACCUAUGAGGAGUAACGUUAGGCUAAAUAAAGGUUAAGCUGAUACCACACGAUGAGAGCUGUACUGGUGGACGGCUUUGGAAAGAAGGCGUCUCAAUUUGAGAAGUCUGGUUGAGCCACAGGAUGGCAUCCCUCUCCAAGUUAAAUAUCCUGAUGGCCAUAUCGUUAGGAGAAGAUUUUACCUCAUACACCCAAUUCAGGAAGAUGAUCUGCAGUUCCUCAGUCUCGAGGAAAGGGAGUGUUUUCUGUUCUUUGAGGAGACCAUCGGCUCCCUGGACUCACGGUGGGGCGUCCGGCCUCACACACACAAACGGCACGACAUCACAGCCCUGUAGAUCAUGACAUCAUUGACCUG